GCACUGAAGGCUGCCCACGUGUACUAGUACAGAUUGAAAAACGGGGGGAGAACUGUUCUUUCCUAUUAAUACAAACAGAUCCUGCUGGAGGAAGAAAGGAAGUGGGGAUACCUUGGCAAUUCACUAAAACUUGGAGUUAUAACAAGGAAAUCACAGUGCAGGGGAGUCCUAUCUUGUUGCUGACUUCCCUAUUAUCUGAAAGACACGAGAGAAAUGAAUAUUGUGACGGGGUCAUGACUUUGCUUAUAAAACCUGCAUAUUAAGUGGUGGGAAAGAUUACUGCCAAGUGCCUUGUUUUACUGUUCACUCUCACUUGCAGUGUUCUAUUUUCUGAUACCUGCUAUAGCUGACACUCCCUUUGCCAAAAUAUAUUACAGGCCACAUGGAAGAUCAUAUAUCAGCAAAUAAUGGAAUCAAGUUAAAAUGCAAGUUUCCUAUAAUGAACUGAGCCAGCCCAUUUCAGCAUUACGUUCAGGUGUUACACUGGGAGAGAAGAUAGGCUUUAAGUUAAGACACAAAAGCUCCUGAAUUCAAGGACUGUCAUCAUCCCAUAUAGCUGCACCUCUUGGCCCCAUCAUGCUGCAGCCUUGGACUGCUGGAGCACAAAAAGCAGCAUUGUAUAUCAAGGUGGAGGGGUAGAGAGCAUUAGGAGGAUCUCAGUAUGCAUAUAUUCCUACAAUACAAGCAAGCACAGUCAUUUCAUGCAUGAA